rnacentral:rRNA from 2 species
UGGGGAAUAUUGGGCAAUGGGCGCAAGCCUGACCCAGCAACGCCGCGUGAAGGAAGAGGGUCUUCGGAUUGUAAACUUCUUUUAUAAAGGAAGAACUAUGACUGUACUUUAUGAAUAAGCCACGGCUAACUACGUGCCAGCAGCCGCGGUAAUACGUAGGUGGCAAGCGUUAUCCGGAUUUACUGGGUGUAAAGGGUGAGUAGGCGGGAAGGCAAGUCAGAUGUGAAAUGCAGGGGCUCAACCCCUGAACUGCAUUUGAAACUGCUUUUCUUGAGUAUCGGAGAGGUAAUUGGAAUUCCCAGUGUAGCGGUGAAAUGCGUAGAGAUUGGGAGGAACACCAGUGGCGAAGGCGGAUUACUGGACGAUAACUGACGCUGAGGCACGAAAGUGUGGGGAGCAAACAGG